UACGUAGGGGUGCAAGCGUUUGUCCCGGGAAUUUAUUUGGGGGCGUAAAAGAGCUCGUAGGCGGGUCUGUCGCGUCUGCUGUGAAAAAAAACUCAGGGGCUUUAACCCCCUGAGCUUUGCAGUGGGGUACGGGGGCAGACUAGAGUGCGGGUAGGGGGGGGGAGACUUGGAAUUUCCUGGGUGUAGCGGGUUGAAAAUGCGCA
rnacentral:rRNA from 1 species